AUCAUAAUUCAUUAUGCUUGUUAUCUAAUUGGCCUGCUGAGCACAAUGUGCUGUUCAGGUGCUGCAACUGCAGCAUCUAUGGGUCGAAAAUAAUAAUAUUCUUCACUUAUUUACUUCUCCUGUACUUUAAUAAUAUUGCCUAACCCAAACUAACACAGUUCUACCCUCUCUCCACAUGUCUCUGGACCUGAGACCCAGAACUCUGCCUCCUUUUAUGACCCUCUCUUCCUAAUGGUUGACGGAUAGCCUAUGAUGAGUCAUGGUUCACCUGCAGUGAAGCAAAUAUGUCUACUCAAGUGACUCUGUAUCCAGAAGGGACUCUGUAUGCAGAAGCAUACACCAGCACUCUUCAAAGCCAGAGCAAGAUCACUUCAGCACCCAGAGUUACCUUGUCGGCUAUCUAAAAGAAUGGAAUGUUGGUUUUCAGCAGCAUGUAUCUUAAACCAGUUCAAUUCAUUCUGAAUACUCAAGCUAUGUAUUCUGGAUUCAGUUAAUUAUACAAUUGCUUAGGUGGUUGCUAGGGUGUGCCGUCAGCUUGUGCCAUGCUAGUCAUUGUCUAACUUGGCUCAAGCCAAGGGAAGAAAAAAAAAAGAAAAAAAAAAAAGAAAAGAAAAAAAAUAGGAUUACUUAGCAAAUCGCACAUAGUUAUUCAGGUCACUAGAUAAACCCUAGUGGGAACACAUUUUUAAACACACGCUACAGACUCUCUCUCACGUGACUGAAAUCCACCUCACUGCAGCCCACUUGUCUGGUGGUCAGAUCUGCUCGUUGGUGGGGAGGGAAUCACCUUAUUUGCUUGUCUUGUCUAUUUAUUUUUAACGUGGUUUUGGGGGAUUUUAUGUUUGUUCAGUAGAAGCAGCACGCUUCUGUCAGCAGCAGUGGCGUAUGGGCUCCGUGCAACAGCAUAUUUACUUAUGUCAAGUAGCAGUAUGCGUAGAGCAGAUCUAGUCCACCAAGACCAAACCAUAUCAUAUACACACACACACAUAUUAGAAUAAAAAAAAAGUUAUACUACUCCGAGAGUUGUCCUAACUGAACUGAGAUCAAAUUUUUUCCCCCAUUCUGAUGUGAACAUUAACUGAAGCUCCAGAACUGUAUCUGCAUGAUUUUAUGCACUGCUGCCACACGAUUGGCGAGUAGAUAUUGCAUGAGAAAGUAGGUGUACAGGUGUACCUAAUAAAGUGGUCUCUGAAUGUAAAUCAGAAUGCCAUGGCAUGCAGUAAUAAUCAUAAUGUAUUUAAAUAUUGUUGUUGCUGAUGUCAGAAUACUAAAAAUGUUCUAAAAAUGUCCCCCCCCCCAAACAGCUCCCGGUGGUGUUCUUCCGGGGCCAGAUGUCAGGUGGACAGGUUUCAAAAAUGACAUAUGAAAGGAAGCAGAGAUGUGAUAGUUAGCAGGUAGCUCCAGUUGGUAAGUUCAGAAUUGUAAGACAAAUCAAUCCUGUAACGGACCAACAUACCUGGAGCUGAGUUUCCUGCAGGGUAGUCGCAACUUGAGAGUCUGGCUAUCUACAUGAGACCUCUGGCCAGGUUGAUAGUCGGGGUGGGGAUGCCUCCGAUCAGCUUGGAUCCGUUGGGCCCAGAUGGCCCGCUGCAAUCUGACGUGCGCACUGUCCCACACUUGCUCGCUCUGCCUGAUACAAUCAUCCACUGCUGGCACUGUAGAGGGUUCACCCAACCAAGGGAACAUAGGAGGUUGGUAGCCCAGCACACAUUGGAAGGGAGUGAGUCCAGUAGAUGAGUGCGUGAGGGAGUUCUGGGUGUAUUCAGCCCAUGGGAGGAAGUCGCUCCACCUCUGUUGUUCUUGACUGCAGUAAGACCUGCGGUAUCUGCGGAUUUCCUGGUUUAUUCUCUCCACCUGUCCAUUUGCCGGAGGAUGAUAACCAGACAUGAGGCUGACGUUGAUUUCCAGCUGUUUACAGAAAGCCUGCCAAACUCUGGAAGUUAACUGUGGUCCCUGGUCAGACACUGUCUUCUGGCAGACCAUAGAUUCUGAAAACUUGGUGGAAUAGAACGUUAGCGGUUUCCAUGGCAGUGGGUAGACCUUUCAUGGGGAUUAGUCUGCAUGACUUAGAGAAACGAUCAAUGUUAACAAAGAUGGUGGUAUACCCAUUGGAGUUUGGCAGAUUGGUGAUGAAGUCGAUGGACAGAUGGGACCAGGGUCUCUGAGGGAUAGGCAGUGGCUGUUGCAGGCCGGCUGGCAGUUCUCUGGGGGUUUUAGACUUUGCACAAACUUUACAUGCUUUAAUGUAUGCAGUGACAUCAUUAAUGAUUGAAGGCCACCAAAAUGAGUUAUGUACCAGGCCUAUCGUUUUCUGGAUGCCAAGGUGUCCAGUGCUGAGGGAGGUAUGGAUCCAUUGGAUUGUUCUUUGGCGUAGAGUGCGUGGUACAUACUGUUUUGUUGGAGGGCAUUCAGGUGGUGGCAGGGUCUGUUUGUUGGGCUCUUUGGAUUUAUUUCAUGAUGUCCCAGCUUAUGGGUGCGAUGACAGAAGUUGGUAGUAUAGAUUUGUUUUGAGGUAUGUUGUGAAGGGGAUCAUGACAAUGGGAGAGAGAGCAUCAGCUUUGCAGUUCUUACUGCCAGGGCGGUAGGUGACUAUGAAUUGGAACCUUGUGAAGAGUGACCGUCGGGCUUGUUGUGGAUUCAGACGUUUUGCUCCCUUGAUGUAUUCGAGGUUCUUAUGGUCGGUGAUUACUUGGAAUGGAUGGACAGAACCUUCAAGCCAGUGGUGCCACUCUUCUAGCGCAGCCUUCAUGGAGAGUAGUUCUUUCCAACAUCAUAGUUCCUUUCAGCAGUGUUCAGUUUACAGGAAAAGCAAGCACAAGGAUAUAGUUUUCCAGGGUUACCGUGGCGUUGAGGGAGAACCGGCCCUAUGCUGCAGUCUGAGGCAUCCACUUCAACAAUGAACGGUUGGUUAGGAUCUGGGUGCUUGAGAAUGGGGGUGGUCGUGAAACUUGUCUUGAGGGUGUCGAAGUCUUUUUGAGCAGUCACUCCAUGGUAGCUUGGAUGGUUUUCCUUUGAGCAAAGACGUUAUGGGGGCAGAGAUGAGACUGUAGUUGCAGAUAAACCUCCUGUAGAAGUUUGCAAAACCCAGGAAAUGUUGUAGCUCCUUAACGGUGUUGGGUUUUGGCCACUCCGUGACUGCCUUGAUCUUGGCAUCAUCCAUCUCAACACCUCUAUGGCUGAUGAUAUACCCUAAGAACAUUGUAUGGGUAACAUGGAACUCACAUUUCUCUGCUUUCACGUAGAGUUGGUGUUUCAGCAGGUGGGAGAGGACCAUUUUAACGUCUUUGUGUUGUGCUUUAUCUUGGGAGUAUGAUUAUGUCGUCAAUGUAGGCGAUGACACAUCUGUUGAGGAGGUCUCUGAAGAUCUCAUUGAUGAAUGACUGGAACAUAGCUGGUGCGUUGGCCAGGCCAUAAGGCAUCACCUGGUAUUCAUAGUGCCCCCUAGUGGUGAUAAAUGCGGUUUUCCACUCAUCUCCCUCUCUGAAACGAAUCAGGUUGUAUGCACUUCUCAAAUCCAGUUUUGUGUAGAUGCGUGCUUCACAUUGUUGUUCUAGGGCAGACGGAACAAGAGGGAGUGGGUACCUGUACUUGAUUGUUAUGGUGUUCAAUCCUCGGUAGUCAAUGCAUGGACGGAGCCCUCCAUCUUCUCAAUGAAGAAGACUGCUGCAGCUGGUGAAGUGGAAGGACGAAUGAACCCUGAAGCUAAAGCCUCAGACGCAAGUCUCCAUGGCCAUGGUUUCAGGCCUUGACAAUGGAUAGGCUUUGCUCCUUGGGGGUGCCAUAUUGAAGUAAUUCAACAGCGCAGUCCCAAGAGAUGAGGGGGUUGUUGGGUUGCCUUGACUUUGCUGAAUACCUCAGCGAAUUCAGAAUAUUCCCUGGGGACCUGGAUUUGAGCUUGUUCUCAGAACUUUCGACGCUGGUAGUCAAACAUGGCAUGGUGACUGUGACAUGAAGACAAUUAAACUUACAAUAAUCUGACCAUUGUUUUAACUCCACCUGGUCCCAGAAGAUGAUGGGAUCAUGGAUAGCCAGCCAUGGAUGACCCAGGAUGAGAGGAUACUUGGGUGAGUUGAUGAAAGAGAUGUGAUCUCUGUAUGAAACAAUCCAAUCUGUGGUGUCAAUGGAACUGUUCGGUGAGUGAUGCCUGUGCCUAUAGGUGCAUUAUUCACAGCAGCAAUGUUAAUGGUGGGUAUACAAGGUACUGAAGGGAUAUGGAGUUCUCGUACUAGACCUUGGUGAAUUAAAUUCAUGACAGCCCCCGAGUCAAGUGCAGAAACUCAUUUUAGAUUAUCAAAGGAGAGCUCAACGGGAAGAGUGAAACUGUGGUGUGUGGAGGAUGAAAUUCAUGGUACUCACAUUAGUUCAGGAGUCUUGAUAUUUCUUGCCUUUGUGAGGGCAUGUGAAAUUUCAAUGAUUCCUUUCACCACAGUAAUAACAGUUGCUCCUUAUGAUGAUCGCAUUCUUCAUCAGAAACUCUGGUAUAGGCGAACUGCAUCGGUUCAGCAGCUUCAGGGCAUGCCUGGACUUGACAUUUGACUGAUGGUUAUGACGGAGCAAAUCAUUGAGCGUGGUGAAUUACGCAGUAAAUUAUCAAUCCUUACUGCCAAUGAAAUGGAUUCAGUAAGUGUUGCAUCCUCACCCUUACAUGCAAGUUCGGCCUGCAGAUUGUAGUUCAGUCCCUCUCUGAACACAGUCUUGAGUGCAAUCUCAUUCCAUCCACUUUGGGCUGCUACUGUCCUGAAGUGUAUGGCAAAGUCAGCUGCAGAACGUGAACCCUGGUGUACAUGAAGCAGCUGAACAGAGACAUUUGUUCCUCCCUCUGGGUAUUCAAACACUUCAUGGAUCUGGGAAGCGAAGUAAUUGAAAGACGUUUGAAUCUGAUUAUCGCUCUCCCAAACAGCUGAGGCCCAGUCUAACGCCUUUCCGGUAAGUAAUGUCAUCAUAAAUGCACAUUCCUUGGACUCCUGACUGAAUGACUCUUGUUGGUUGGAGAAAUAUAUUUUACAUUGACGUAAAAACCCAUUACAUUUCUAUGGUGAGCCAUCAGAUUUAUCAGGAAGAGCGAAUCUUACCGGUGUAGCUUGUGGUGAAGGAAAAGAACAGAUAUAGUGGGUGAGGUUCUCAUUUGCAGCUCUUAGGUAGUUAAGUUUUUCUUGGUAACCUUUGAGAAGUUCGCUCUGGGAAGUGAAUACAGCCUGGAGCUGAGAAACUUCCGCUGGAUUCAUUGUUGUCGAAGUAUUCUGUAAGGGACUCCACAUAGAGGCGAAGGUAGAAUCCAUAUGCAAGAAGUUUAUUAUAAUCAGCAAACAAAUCCAAGACACAAGGCAGAGACGUAAUGGUUGAAGCAGGCAAUGUUGUCGUUACACAGGUAAAUCAAGCCAAUCGCUGAGACAACAGCAUCACCUUGUGUAAGAAACAGCAUGUAUAAUAUGGAUGUGUAAACUCGUAUGGAAUACUGAUAAUUUACCAUUGUUGCACAGACAAUCAACAUGAUAAAAGCAACAAUAUUACAUAUCUCAGGUCUCUAAUGACCCUAUACACUUUUGGUACUAAACAAAACAUUUGUGUGUGUGUGUGUGUGUGUGUGUGUGUGUGUGUGUGUGUGUGUGUGUGUGUGUGUGUGUGUGUGUGUGUGUGUUAAACAAUUCUUAGGAGAAAGGGAAAGGUUGAAGAAUACUAAAAAGAGGUGUGGGCACAACUCCAAAGGAUGAGGCGCCACACACACACACAGGGCCAGGUUCGUGUGUCGCUCUCCCCUCAGGUGGUUCGGACUGCCCUUUUAUCCAUCCCAUCUUUCACUGCAAACACAAACAGCUGUUAGAGAUCAUUUCCCACUGGUGUCUAUCCUUACCGUUCUUCCUCUCUCGGCCUCGCUCUCCACAAACGUCGCCCGGCCACGCCCACAUCACCACGCUCAUAUUGAAUAUUGCUCAUAUCCCAUAUAAUAAAUAUCUUACUGUUCUAUGUUCCAAGCUUGUAGCUUUUAUUUUAUUGCCAACAGCUUAAACUGCCAUUGUUAAGUCUUCUUAAAACAUAAGUUUCAAGUAAAGAUAGUCUGAAAAGGUUCUUUCUUGCAUAAUAUGACAUAGCUCCUGAGAAAAAGACAAUACAAGAGUCAAAUGUUUCGUUCAUAUAUUUUAGAUGCAUGUGACACGUC